UCUCCUCCCAACUGGUGCCGCACGCGUUCUGGAAGCUUCGGGUCAGCGUUGGGGAAGCAUUGGGGGUGCAGGUUGCAGGACUCGGCGGAAAACAAUCCAUCUCCAUCGGAGGACUGAGUGGGCAUCCGGGCGCAGACAUGCUGGAGAAUGCAAGCACCAAGGUGGCCUUUCUGAAUGCGGCCACAGGGAACCGCAACUCCGGUGGCAAUCGCAGUUCUUACCAGGAUAAAGAUAAACCCGCUUAAAUCCGCUUCAGCAACAUUUCUGCAGGGAAAGGUGAUGGGUGGGACAUCCCACUGUCUCUAUAAGGAAGGGGGUGGCGGAGAGGAUGAGUGGACCGCUCCAUUGACAUUUGGCGGGCUCGGGCAGGGGCUCCUGAUCCAUAAAAAAACACCUGACCACAUCUUUGGCUCUCCAAUUCCUUUGUUGGAAUGAACUAAGGCUCUUUCAGAGUCUUGUUGAAGAUAGAAGAGGGUCGAGCAGCAUAAAGGUUUGAGUUUGAGAGCGCUAAUUUUAGAGGGGGGAGCACCAGAAAUAGAGUUGGCAUUAUGCUUGAAUGAAUAUUCACGUGGUUUAAGUGGCAUGGAAUCUUUUUGCAUUCCUGCUUACGGAGAGGCUCUGGAAAUUAUUCCAUCCACCCUGGCUGAAAAUGGCAGGCCCUAAUCCGAUAUCGACUGUUACAGAGCUGAGAAACGGACAUGCACAAGGAGAGAAAACUGUUGGCAUUAAUGUCAGAAAGGUGAACACUCGAUGAAAUGACUAAAGGAAGAGGCAGUACUCUUAACUAGUACACUAUCCUAAGUUUGGAACUUGGUUCCUUUAUAGAGGCACUGCGUUAGACACCUACUUAACUUGCGGUUGUGUUCAUGUUCUGUCAAUCUAAGUUAACACGUGAUGACAUGAACCAAAUGCCAGGAUUUAUAUUCUGACAUCAGGAUACAAGAAAACUUUUGUAAUUUUCUUGACUGGUGACUUGUUCACUGACAUAAUCAAUUGAAUGAAAUAAAUUGACUGACAGUAGCCAAAUCCCAUCAUUUUUGCCAGGAAUGAUUAACUUGGUUGUAACUUGAAAAUCUGUAUUAGUGAUUAUUAAACCAUUUUUAUUUACUAUAACUCCUUUUUAUUUUGUAUUUUUGACCUCUUUGAUGGAAGCAGGAGAAGCGGGCCCUUUGGCUAACUAUUUUCAGUAACAAAGAGUGUCUUUGAUUAAUGUUUCUAAAUAAUUUGAAGUAACAAGUAAGAAUGUGAAAUUCUGAUAGGAACCAACUAGAGACAAUAAUUUUAUUUUAUUUUUUAUUUUUAUUAGUUCGAUUUAUAUGCCGCCCUUCUCCAGAGACUCAGGGCGGCUUACAAUGCAUUAAGCAAUAGCCUUCAUACUUUUGUAUAUACCUGCUUAGUAGGGCUUUUUGGCCCCCCCUAAGCGGUGUUCUAUUUUAUACAAAGUCAGCUUAUUGCCCCUACAACCCGGGUCCUCAUUUUACCUACCUCGGAAGGAUGGAAGGCUGAGUCAACCUUGAGCCUGGUGAGAAUUGAACUCGCAGUAAUUGCAAGCAGCUGGUAGUUUAGUCCACUACGCCGCCACGGCUCUUUGCCAGAGAGUUGAACUUUUAUUAACGUGAAAACUAAUUAUGUGGGAAACACGCCCCUUGAAUAUUCAGUUGACCCUUAUCAGGAUCAUACUAAGAAUAAUGGGAUUCUAUGAACUGUUACAUGGUACAUUUAUGGGCAUGCUGUCUACAUGCUUGAGGACUCAAAUGAUGCUGAUCAAUUAAUAUAUGCCAAACCCAAUACCUUUGAACUGUAUAUAUCCUUUCUAAGGGUUUUCUCAUCUUGUACCUUUGGGACAUGUAUCUUUUACUUACAAAUUGCCUUUUCUACCUUAAGUGGUUACAUAUUGCAUACAUAAAUCAGCAUAUUGAUCGUUGCACAAAAAUGUUAUUAAAUGUCUUGGGUACAAAAAAGGGAAUAUAAAUAAGUUUGAUGGAAAACAAAACUAAAAAGAAUCCUUCUGUAGGAGAUGACCAGACUGAGCCCAAGGGAGGGGUCAAACACAUCGAGUUGAGUCCCUUUGCACCCACAAGAGAUCCAAGUCCAGCCCACCUUGAUUUCCAUUGACGCUAUCUAUCGCCAAUUUGCUUCAACUAUUAGUAGUUCAGAUUCUUAUAGAGAACUUAAGCUUGCAAUAAACUUCAUAUUUAUUUGAA